rnacentral:rRNA from 1 species
GACGAACGCUGGCGGCGUGCCUAAUACAUGCAAGUAGAACGCCGUUGCGAACGGGUGAGUAACGCGUAGGUAACUGCCUCAUAGCGGGGGAUAACUAUUGGAAACGAUAGCUAAUACCGCAUACUGUGAGAUGGACCUGCGUUGUAUUAGGUAGUUGGUGGGGUAAAGGCUCACCAAGGCGACGAUACAUAGCCGACCUGAGAGGGUGAUCGGCCACAAUGGGAAUGGGACACGGCCCAGACUCCUACGGGAGGCAGCAGGAGGGAAUCUUCGGCAAUUGGCGGAAGGCUGACCGAAGCACGGCGCGGUGGAGAAGAAGGUUUUCGGAGCGUAAAGCUCUUUUGAUAGAGAAGCGGUAACUGCACAGAAAGGGACGGCUAACUACGUGCCAGCAGCCGCGGUAAUAC